GCCAUUUCCUUCUGGACACCAUGAUCCUUGCCUACAGCCUUCAAGAAGAAGACCAGCAUCAACUUUCUUUCAUGGUCUGAGAGGGAAACAGUUUUCAAGGACCUCUUAGCGUUUCAUGACCUUAGUGAACCCCAGUAUGGUUCGGUCCACUUCUACCACCGGGGGCCAAUUGAUGUGAUUUCUCUCGGUCACCUCAAGGUUUAUAACAUCUCAAGAACUAACAUAGGACUCUUGCUGCCACCACACAGUAGAUCACCAAUUUCUGCAUUUCAACCACUGCUCCUUCGACCGAGGAGACGAGAUCGAUGCUGGCAGCUCCCUACUGAAUUACGCAGCGCAACACCAAAUUGCAGACUCCCAUAAGUACUGUGCAGCGGGGGCAGAGGUCGCGUCUCCUCUCGGUGGAGGUCGCAGAUGUGGCUCUCACAGAAAGGAGUCUUUCAGCUGAAAGCAGCGCUCGCCUGCCUGGG